rnacentral:lncRNA from 1 species
GGUGCUCUGGAAGCUCUGGGGUUGGGGUCUCUUCGUCCCUGCAGAAUGGCCCAGAUUUGGUUGGUAAGACCUUAUCCAAUAGCUCUCAAACACUGGGUGGUAGCGGAAGGUUUGGACCAACAUUCAGAAGGAACAGGGGAGUUUGGCUGCGAAUGACAGCUAUGCUUCCAGAGUGCUCUGUGCAUUUCCAUGAUCAACAAACGAUGAAUAAAUCUCUG